UAAUAUCUGUCAAUAAUAACCGAUACAAAUCACACCGCAAAAACCCCUGCUACAUGAUAAAAUUGUUGCAGCGAAACCAUUUUAUUUUAUUUUUGAUAGAGUAGUGGAAACAAUUUGAAAAGUGCUUUCCUAACCUUGCAACAUUUGUGUAGGUGACAAUUAACUAUGUUUUGGGAAACUUGGGAAAAGAUUUUUCAGAGACAGUGGCAGUAGCUGAUCUUGGAGGGGGAUCAGUUCAAAUGGUAUAUGCAGUCUCAAGAGAACAAGCAAAAAAAGCUCCACAAGUACCUCAGGGAGAGGAUCCAUACAUAAAAAAGAUUGUACUUAAAGGAAAGAAAUAUUACCUCUAUGUUCACAGGUUUUAUUCUUAUUCUUGGAUAUAAAUUACCAUUUACCAGUGUGAAAAAAUGUUUAGAUAUAUAUAUGUCUUGCUAAUGUUUAUUUCUUUCAGUUAUUUGCGGUUUGGCAAAGAAGCAUCUCGUGCUGAAAUUUUGAAAGUCACUAAUGGUUCUCCUAAUCCUUGCAUUUUAGCUGGCUAUCAUGGUAAACACACGCAACUUCAUUGAUUUACACAUAUCUUUCUAGCAUAAACCAUUCUUAUAACAUGAACCUUUUUAUUCUGCAAAGGCACAUAUACAUAUUCAGGAGAGGAGUAUAAGGCAUUUUCUCCUGCUUCUGGCUCCAACUUUGAUGAAUGCAAAGAGAUAAUUCUUAAGGCACUUAAAGUGAAUGAUCCAUGUCCUUAUGGGAAAUGUAGUUUUGGUGGGAUAUGGAACGGUGGAGGAGGAAGUGGGCAGAAAACUCUUUAUGUUACAUCAUCAUUUUAUUACGUGCCUACAGGGGUAUGUAUCGAGGAUUUCAUGUCGGAUUUCAUGACAUUCACUCAUUUGAUGACCAUUUGAUCAGAAUAGGCAUUUUUUGAACUGGAUCUUGAUCGAACUUCGACUAAUAUUAUUUGUACACGUGUAGGUUAAUAUUGCUGAUCCAAAUAAGCCCAAUUCCAAAAUUCGUAUCGAGGAUCUGAAAACUGGAGCUGAGCAAGUCUGUAAAACAAAAUAUAAGGAUGCCAAAGCCACAUAUCCACUUAUUUAUGAGGAUAGUCUUCCAUAUGCAUGCUUGGAUCUUAUUUACCAAUAUACAUUGUUUGUUGAUGGAUUUGGUAAGUUUGCAUGCUUGAAAUUGCAUUCACUAUUAUUUUACUGUCAUAUUCAAAUUAAGAUGACAUACUCAAAAAUAGGAGCAUACCUCUAGUAUUCUUAGGCAACCUAAGUUAAUGUCUUUUAAGUUAACAAAAAACAUCUAUUUGUUGACGCAGGCCUAGACCCAUUGCAAGAGAUUACCGUGGCAAAUCAAAUUGAAUAUCAAGAUGCCCUUGUGGAUGCAGCAUGGCCUCUAGGCAAUGCAAUAGAAGCUAUAUCAUCAUUGCCCAAAUUUGAUCCUUUCAUGUACUACUUUAUUUAAGCUUCUAGAAUUAAAUAUGGGAUACUUUAGUGUUAAACACUAAGAGCUGUAUCAUCAACACUCUCUCUAAUACCCACUAUCUUAUUAGUUUAUAUCAUUGUGGUCUGCAUUUUGAAAAUAGAAGACAUACAUUGAUUCCAUUCGACAAAAGAGUGGAUGUUAUACAGGGUGUUCAAACGUAAGUGUUGCCAACAUUCUUUAUAAAAUAAACAUAAAACAUCUAAUUUUUCAUUAAUUUUGUUGCAUAUGGCUCGCUUAUGUUAUGGUUAAAAUAGUAAAGCAGAGCAGUUGUUGCAACAUCAAUCAAAUUUUGCUUUAAAUUAAUCAAUUAUCAAUGGCGUCGACCACGUUGGAGAUCCGAAGACAUGAGUAUUUUAGAUACUUGAAUAUAAUCAUAUGUGUAGACUUUUGUACUUUGUCAUUUUGUGCCAUUAACAUAAAUGUUGUGAAUUUGUUCGUAGAUUCAUCCUUUUUAAUUUUAGCAAAUAUACAACAUUAUUAAUUUAAAUGAAUGAAUAUGAUUUAUUUUUGUAAAAAUAAAAUAAAAAUAAUGUGUAAUGAAACGAAGAUUUUAUGCAGAUCGUCCCAUUGGAGUUGCGGGGAAAUUGUGGAUCUUAUAAUAUAUAUUUCAUCUCUAUGUAAACUUUCCUUUUUGUUCAGAUAAGUAUUCUUCGUUUCUAUGUUAAAAUUUAAUAGGUAAAAUCUCUUAUCUUUUUUUUUUUUAACUUUGUUUCCAUUCUUUUUUUUUAAAUCUAAUUUUUGUGGAAUGAUUGUCAUAAUAUUCUACUCGUUUUUGAAAAAUUUCAUUAAAAAAUAUGAAGGUUAGAUAUGAGAUGACUCGGCAAAUACACAUCUUUAAAUGACUCGACAAAUACACAUUUUUAAAUAGCAUCAUCGUCAAAUAUCACAUCUUUAUAUAACACAUUUUUAAAUCACACAUCUUCAAAUAGUAUAUCUUUAUAUAACACAUUAUUUUCACAUCGUGGAAUAACACAUCAAUUUCACAUCAUCAAAUAAUUCACAAAUCACACUUAAUUAAAUAAUUCCUCAAUUAAUAUCUAACCAAUUCAAAAGAUAUGAUAAUGAAAAUAACAGACAUUUAUUCAUGCUUUUGAUCAAUUGAUAAAAAAAAAAAAAUGAAAAUCAAGUAACAGUUAGAAUAUCACAUGGAAUUUAAAUAAAAUAGACAUGGCAACCAGGAGCGAGCACGGCAAUAUGAAUUGAAUGGAACAACAACGUGAAAGAAACAAGUAGAAAAUAUAUGGGUCACGGCUGACAGUAAGGAUCAAACAACUCUUUAAUUGAAAUUGAAACAGGGAGGCAAGGCAACAUCAAGUAAUUGAUUUGGAUUCGCACGACACAUUUAUGAUUUUCCAACAAUUAAAACUCAAUUUAACAGCUACGAAUUCAUAAACAAUACGACAACAACAAUAAGAAGUAACACGCAGGAGUAAUAAGAUUAAAGUACACAACAAGCAAUUAGAGCACAAAUUUUAAUUUAAACAUAGAUUCAUCAAAUAAGGAAACAACAAAAAAUAACAACCUGUCACUACCCAUAUGUUCAUACAACCUUAUGAUGAAUAUAACUCCCCCCUUACCUCUAGUUUUGCGAAAUUGAUGAUUUCCUACGUUGAAAUCUCUCUAAGUUCUUCUGGCUAUUCCUCUUUGCCUCUUCUCUCCAUAGUCGGUAACCCUUUUUCUCUCAUUCUCUUCUCUAUUUAUAAGCUUUAAUAGAGUUUGUUAUCAAUCUUUUUAUGUUAAUAUAUGUCCUCUAGAUUUGUUACUAAUCUUUUCAUAUUACUAUUUGCACCUCUAUAUUUUGUUACUAUUAUUUCUGUAACUACACUGUCUUGCUAUUCACACUCCCCUCUACUUAAAUCAUUAAAGUACUACUCAUCUCACUAACUACACCUCUUUUCUUCCCAAUUUUACUGAUCCUCCCGUUCUCACUCUAAUUUCUUAUUUUCUCUACAAAAAAAAAAAAAAAAAAACUCUAUUUUCCUUCUAAAUAUUAUUUUCUCUCACUCUUUAAAUGACUAAUCAACCCACUCAUUACCUAUUCUUCCAAUAAAUACGAAUAUUUAAAUUAAUACUAUCUAAAAACAUAUACUAAUACUAACAUUAAUACUAAUAUUAUCUAAAAUUAAUAUUAAUAAACUAAUAUUCAAAAUCGAGGUGUUAUAAAUGAUGUAAGACGAAUGAAUAAGACGGAAAUAUCAGUAACACGAUGUCAAUAUCAAACUCCCAUAUAUAAAAUAUGCACCAAUUAACAAGGACAAUAUACUGCUUUUUCUUUUAGGGAAGGAAAACAAUACUUCUUAUUAACUUAAGCUGGAAGCAGAAACCUAUGGUCAAUAUGCAACUUUGAUAAAAUACCACAAAUAUAUAAAUAUCCAAAGAGCUUUGUUAAUAAAAUAUAUACACCAUCCGGUUAUUACUACAAGCAAAAAUUCACAUUUUAGGUUCAUUCAGUAAAUGAUGUCAACAUAUAUCAUUUAUCGAAGGGUUAAUAGUAUUUUACCCCCUGUAAUAUAGGUCAUUUCCAGUUUUCACUUCUUUAAAAUUUUCUUUUUAGAUUCCGUCCUUGUAAUUUGAAGUUUUUUGGUUUUGGACCUUCAUGAAUUUUAACUGUACAAAAUCGAUGAUAUGGCAGGGGGUAAACCGAAAUUUUUUCAAAUUGCAAGGGGGUAAACCGAAAUUUUGUCAAAUUACAGGGGAUAAAAUUUUUCAUGAAGGUCUAAAACAAAAAAAUCUUCAAAUUACAAGGACGGAAUCCAAAAAAAAUAUUUUAUAGGGGGAAAACCGGAAAUGACCUAUAUUACAGGGGGUAAAGCAUUAUAAACCUUUAUCGAAUGAACCUAAAAUAUAAAUUUUUGUGUAUAAUAAUAACAGAAAGGACUAAAUGUACUAACAGUGAAAAACUUAGAAAACCGAAAUAAAUCAAUUUUUAGUUAGAGUACCAAUCUGAUACCAAUUUAUAGAUUAUGGGGCAGCGAUGAUUGUGAGUGAGAGUUUUUACCUUCUGAGGGGAAUAAUGGUGGUAUUCUCUCGAUUUGGCAUAAAUCUAUGUCGACGGUGCAUUAUACGUUUGUGGGAGAAGGUUUUGUCGGAUUAUCGUUGGAGUGAGGGGUUUUAAAGCAUAGGUGUGUUAUUAUAAAUGUUUAUGCAAAAUGUGAAUCGGUGGCCAAGAGGCGGUUGUGGGAGAGAUUGUUGUUGGCUAGAAGAAAUUUGGGGAAGGGGCAUGGUGUGUUCUUGGAGAUUUUAAUACCGUAAGUAGUAGGGAAGAAAGAAGGGGGAUUCAUGAUGAUGCGUCCACAAGUCAAGUUUUAGAUAUGGAUUUCUUCAUUAGAUUUCUAAUCGAAGUGGAGUGGAGUUGGAGGAUCAAAUGGUGGCAGGGAGAAGGUUUACUUGGUAGCACCCUAAUGGUCGGUCAAUGAGCCGGAUUGAUAGAGUUUUGGUGUCGAAGGAAUGGAGGCAUUUUUGGGGGGAUGUGAAUCUUUGGGUCCUUCCAUGGGACGUUUCUGAUCAUUGUCCUUUUCUCCUAAAAGUGAAAGGUUGGGAUUGGGGCCCAAAACCGUUCUGUUUUAAUAAUUUUUGGUUGGAUAAUGGUGAUAUUAAGAAGAUGGUGGAAGAAGUUUUGAGGUCGAGUAAUUUAAGUGGGUGGAUGGGGUAUCUUUUGACGGACAAACUCAAUUCUUAAAGGGAAAUUGAGGGAGUGGAAUAUGGGGGUUUGGAUGACCGGGUGAAGAGGUUGACGGAGGAGAUAGUGGUGUUGGAUGUGUGGGGGGAGGUUGGAGGUUUAAAUGAAGAGGAAGUUCAACUUAGGAAGCUUAAGUUUAGUUCACUUUGGAGGUUACUAAAGGCAAAAGAUUCUUUAUUGGUUCAAAGAUUACGAUCAAGGUGGCUAAAGGAGGGGGAUGAUAAUACUAAGUUCGUCCACAAUUGUAUUAAAUCUAGAGUAAAUGGGAAUUGAUAGUGCGGUUGGGUUUUCCUAGGAAGUGGGUGGCUUGGAUGAAAGCGUGUGUGUGUGGUGGAAAUAUGUUCGUUCUUGUAAAUGGAAUCCCAAUGGAAGAAAUUUGCAUUCAAACAGACCUUAAACAAGGAGAUCCCCUAGCUCCGUUUUUAUUUCUCCAAGUGGCGGAAGGCUUCAGUGGCUUGAUGAGGAAUGCGGGUCGUUUGGAGUUGUUCAAGGGUUUUGGUUUCAUGAGAGAUGGUAUGGUAAUCUCUCACCUACAAUAUGUGGAUGAUACUAUUUGUAUAGGCGUGGCAACUGUGGACUUUGGACUUUGAAAGCAAUGUUGACAGGUUUUGAAUUGACAUCGGGUUUAAAGGUGAAUUUUUCUAAAAGUUGUUUGUUGGGAAUUAAUGUUUCUGGCGACUUCAUGGAGAUGGCGUGUAAUUUUUUUAAUUGCACGGAGGGGACGUUGCCUUUCAAAUACAUGGGCCUUCAAAUUGGAGCAAAUCCGAGAAGGAUGUCGACUUCUCAACAAACUUAUUUUUUAAAUUAUGCUUGCCAUUCAUAAUCUUAAAAACUUACAAAAUUAUUUUUUCAAUGCAAUAUUUAUUUUUUAAUUCCACUUUUAGAUCUUUAUCUUGUGCCCUGGUUAACCUUUUUCUUUCUUUAUAUAUAAUAUAUAGAAUAGAUGAUACCCUCGUAAAGUAAUUGCAACUUAUAGAACCUAUUUUUAUUUUUUUUUGAUAGAAAGUAGGGAAACCAAUUUGAAGAGCACUUUCCUAACCUUGCAACAUAUAUGUGUAGGUGACAAUUAACUAUGUUUUGGGAAACUUGGGAAACACACAAAAGGAUUUUUCAGAGGCAAUGUCUGUGUUGGAAAAUGUUGUGGUGGAAUUGGGAAACACUUUGAGUGUUGCAUUAGGUGAUAUUGGAGGGGGAAUAACUAUUGAUGCAGUCUCAAGAGAGCAAGCAAAAAAAGCUCCACAAGUACCUCAGGGAGAGGAUCCAUACAUAAAAAAGAUUGUACUUAAAGGAAAGAAAUAUUACCUCUAUGUUCACAGGUUUUAUUCUUAUUCUUGGAUAUAAA
rnacentral:lncRNA from 1 species